GCCAUCGAGAUCGUCAAAAAAUCCAUGAAAAGAUGAGAUCCCGUUCUACCCUGUUUGGAUGAGUCCUUUCCCCCUCUUAUUCAGCCAUCGAUGCCGCCGUUUGUGGCAUCUCACCCUUAGGAUGGGACCCUCACCUCUACCUCUCUUUUUCUGGAGGUCUUGACUGUCGGUGUCCGACCAAUGACCAAAAAAUAAAAAGAAAGGGGGCGGAUCCUCUAUUUUUUCAAAAAUUUUUCUCCCAUCGGUCGAGCCUUGCUGUCGGUGAUCCCUUGCUCUCCAUUGUCGGCCAUCACUGUCGGACCUCCGAUUAUGUCGCCAUCCUUCGUCGGAGCUCGAGCACCGAGCC
rnacentral:lncRNA from 1 species